GACGAACGCUGGCGGCGUGCUUAACACAUGCAAGUCGAACGGAAAGGCCCUGCUUUUGUGGGGUGCUCGAGUGGCGAACGGGUGAGUAACACGUGAGUAACCUGCCCUUGACUUUGGGAUAACUUCAGGAAACUGGGGCUAAUACCGGAUAGGAGCUCCUGCUGCAUGGUGGGGGUUGGAAAGUUUCGGCGGUUGGGGAUGGACUCGCGGCUUAUCAGCUUGUUGGUGGGGUAGUGGCUUACCAAGGCUUUGACGGGUAGCCGGCCUGAGAGGGUGACCGGCCACAUUAGGACUGAGAUAGGGCCCAGACUCCUACGGGAGGCAGCAGUGGGGAAUAUUGCACAAUGGGCGGAAGCCUGAUGCAGCAACGCCGCGUGCGGGAUGACGGCCUUCGGGUUGUAAACCGCUUUCGCCUGUGACGAAGCGUGAGUGACGGUAAUGGGUAAAGAAGCACCGGCUAACUACGUG
rnacentral:rRNA from 1 species